GGAAGCCUACGGGAGGCAGCAGUGAGGAAUAUUGGUCAAUGGGAGAGAUCCUGAACCAGCCAAGCCGCGUGAGGGAAGACGGCCCUAUGGGUUGUAAACCUCUUUUGUCGGAGAACAAAACCCGGGACGUGUCCCGGACUGCGUGUAUCCGAAGAAAAAGCAUCGGCUAACUCCGUGCCAGCAGCCGCGGUAAUACGGAGGAUGCGAGCGUUAUCCGGAUUUAUUGGGUUUAAAGGGUGCGUAGGCGGUCUGUUAAGUCAGCGGUAAAAUGGCGGGGCUCAACCCCGUCGAGCAGGUGAAACUGG
rnacentral:rRNA from 1 species